CCUACGGGUGGCUGCAGUGGGGGAUCUUGCACAAUGGAGGAAACUCUGAUGCAGCGACGCCGCGUGAGGGAAGAAGGUCUUCGGAUUGUAAACCUCUGUCUUUGGGGAAGAAAAUGACGGUAACCAAAGAGGAAGCUCCGGUAAACUCCGUGCCAGUAGCCGCGGUAAUACGUAGGGAGCGAGCGUUGUCCGGAAUUACUGGGUGUAAAGGGAGCGUAGGCGGGCGGUAAAGUUGAAUGUUAAAUCUACCGGCUUAACUGGUAGCUGCGUUCCAUACUUCUUGUCUAGAGUGAAGUAGAGGGAGGCGGAAUUCCUAGUGUAGCGGUGAAAUGCGUAGAUAUUAGGAGGAACACCAGUGGCGAAGGCGGCCUGCUGGGCUUUAACUGACGCUGAGGCUCGAAGGCGAGGGGAGCGAACAGGAUUAGAUACCCUUGUAGUC
rnacentral:rRNA from 1 species